AACUAGUUAUGUUAGUAUCAACUCUCAUGCUCUCCCACUGAGAUACUUGGUUGUUUACCUAACUUCCCACUUUCUCUACCUGUCUGUGUGUCUAGCUCUAGCUGGUCAAAAAUCAACUGAAUGCAAAAAAAUGGUUAGUGAAAAGGUGAUUUGUUCCUCCAUUGCCAUGUUGCAAGAGAGGUUUAGACAAUUGGAGAAGGUGAAAGAGAUGAGAGAAGAAAGAGAGCUUCUGAAGUUACCAUACAAAUAUAAUUACAAUCAUCCUCCUCAUAAUAAUUCCCAUAAUUUGUUGUUUCACUCCAAAGAAAGAGAGCUUCUGAAGUUACCUACUCCAAAACAAUCUCAUCAACUACUUUCCCUCUCCCUGUGUCAAAAUUCACACAUGAAGAUGAAGAAGAAGAAGAAGAAGCUACCAUCUUGGCUCAUCCAUGUUCCCCCAUCCUUGAUCAACAAUAUCAAUGAAACUGAUGUUGAUACCACUCUGCAUCUCUAGCUACCACAUAAAUAAAUUUACUACUGGAGUAUCCUCGUGCCACCAGUGGAACCACCCGAUCAUAUCCAUAGUAACUCUGAUAAAUGGUUGGCAUCAUCACAUUAGGUUUUGCAUGAACCCAUGCACCUUACUUAGGGUUUACUGUCAAGUGUAUUUAGUUACAAAGGUGCGCAUCAAUCAAAGUAUGCAGCCUGGGUUCGUAUUCGGAUGUCAGUGUUGGUUUUAGACGUUUAGUGUAUGCUCCAUUACCUGUUAUCUUGUUCUACUUGUUAUUCAUCUCUUGAUCUUUAUUCUUUA